GAUGAACGCUAGCGGCAAGCCUAACACAUGCAAGUCGAACGGUAACUUUUGGUGCUUGCACUGAAAGACGAGUGGCGAACGGGUGCGUAACGCGUAUGCAAUCUGCCUUUUACUAGGGUAUAGCCCAGAGAAAUUUGGAUUAAUCCCCUAUAAUAUCAAUUAUUCGCAUGAAUUUUUGAUUAAAGCUUCGGCGGUAAAAGAUGAGCAUGCGUCCUAUUAGUUAGUAGGUGAGGUAACGGCUCACCUAGACAACGAUAGGUAGGGGUCCUGAGAGGGAGAUCCCCCACACUGGUACUGAGACACGGACCAGACUCCUACGAGAGGCAGCAGUGAGGAAUAUUGGACAAUGGACGAAAGUCUGAUCCAGCUAUGCCGCGUGCAGGAUGACGGCCCUAUGGGUUGUAAACUGCUUUUAUACAGGAAGAAAUACUCCCACGUGUGGGGGCUUGACGGUACUGUACGAAUAAGGAUCGGCUAACUCCGUGCCAGCCGCCGCAGUAAAAC
rnacentral:rRNA from 1 species